UACGGGGGGGGCAAGCGUUGUUCGGAAUUACUGGGCGUAAAGGGCCAGUAGGCGGCCAACUAAGUCGGAUGUGAAAUCCCCAGGCUUAACCUGGGAACUGCAUCCGAUACUGGAUGGCUUGAAUUCGGGAGAGGGAUGCAGAAUUCCAGGUGUAGCGGUGAAAUGCGUAGAUAUUCGCAAGAACACCAGUGGCGAAGGCGGCUCACUGGCCCGAUACUGACGCUGAGGCACGAAAGCGUGGGGAGCAAACAGG
rnacentral:rRNA from 1 species